AUAGUACUCUCUUCGUCCGGAAAUACUUGUUUUAAAGAUGAAUGUAUCUAAAUUUAUUUUAAUUAUAGAUACGUUCAUUAUAUUUAUUUUUAGGACAAGUAUUUUUGGAUGAAGGAAGUAGCUA
rnacentral:pre_miRNA from 1 species